rnacentral:rRNA from 1 species
GAUGAACGCUGGCGGCGUGCCUAAUACAUGCAAGUCGAGCGAACAGACGAGGAGCUUGCUCCUCUGAUGUUAGCGGCGGACGGGUGAGUAACACGUGGAUAACCUACCUAUAAGACUGGGAUAACUUCGGGAAACCGGAGCUAAUACCGGAUAACAUGUUGAACCGCAUGGUUCAACAGUGAAAGACGGUCUUGCUGUCACUUAUAGAUGGAUCCGCGCCGCAUUAGCUAGUUGGUAAGGUAACGGCUUACCAAGGCAACGAUGCGUACCCGACCUGAAAGGGUGAUCGGCCACACUGGAACUGAGACACGGUCCAGACUCCUACGGGAGGCAGCAGUAGGGAAUCUUCCGCAAUGGGCGAAAGCCUGACGGAGCAACGCCGCGUGAGUGAAGAAGGUCUUCGGAUCGUAAAACUCUGUUAUUAGGGAAGAACAAAUGUGUAAGUAACUAUGCACGUCUUGACGGUACCUAAUCAGAAAGCCACGGCUAACUACGUG